rnacentral:rRNA from 1 species
CAAGUAGACAGGUGGUGCAUGGUUGUCGUCAGCUCGUGUCGUGAGAUGUUGGGUUAAGUCCCGCAACGAGCGCAACCCCUAUUGUCAGUUGCCAGCAUUCAGUUGGGCACUCUGGCGAGACUGCCGUUGACAAAACGGAGGAAGGUGGGGACGACGUCAAAUCAUCAUGCCCCUUAUGUCCUGGGCUACACACGUACUACAAUGGCAACAACAGAGGGCAGCCAAACCGCGAGGUUGAGCGAAUCCCAAAAUGUUGUCUCAGUUCAGAUUGCAGGCUGCAACUCGCCUGCGUGAAGUCGGAAUUGCUAGUAAUGGCAGGUCAGCAUACUGCCGUGAAUACGUUCCCGGGCCUUGUACACACCGCCCGUCACACCAUGAGAGUCUGUAACACCCGAAGUCGGUAGUCUAACCGCAAGGAGGACGCUGCCGAAGGUGGGACAGAUGAUUGGGGUG